rnacentral:rRNA from 1 species
CAAAAUGACUCUCGGCAACGGAUAUCUCGGCUCUCGCAUCGAUGAAGAACGUAGCAAAAUGCGAUACUUGGUGUGAAUUGCAGAAUCCCGUGAACCAUCGACUCUUUGAACGCAAGUUGCGCCCGAAGCCUUCGGGUUGAGGGCACGUCUGCUUGGG